UACAGAGGUGGCAAGCGUUGUUCGGAAUUACUGGGCGUAAAGGGCGCGUAGGCGGUCUUGUAAGUCUUGUGUGAAAUCCCUCGGCUUAACUGAGGAACUGCACGGGAUACUGCGAAGACUUUGAGAUCGGGAGAGGGAAGCGGAAUUCCGGGUGUAGCGGUGAAAUGCGUAGAUAUCGGAGGAACACCGGUGGCGAAGGCGGCUUCCUGGACCGACACUGA
rnacentral:rRNA from 1 species